AACGAACGUUAGCGGCGCGCCUAAUACAUGCAAGUCGAGCGAGAAAGGGAUUCGUCCCCAGUAAAGCGGCGCACGGGUGAGUAACACGUAGGUCAUCUACCCUCGGGUGGUGGAUAACAUUCCGAAAGGAGUGCUAAUACAGCAUAACACCGCAAGGACAAAGCGGGCCUCUCUAUAGAAGCUCGCGCCUGAGGAUGAGCCUGCGGCCCAUCAGCUAGUUGGCAGUGUAAAAGACUAACAAGGCUAAGACGGGUAGCUGGUCUGAGAAGAUGAACAGCCACACUGGAACUGAGACACGGUCCAGACGCCUACGGGAGGCAGCAGUAGGGAAUCUUGCGCAAUGGGCGAAAGCCUGACGCAGCGACGCCGCGUGAGUGAUGAAGGCCUUCGGGUUGUAAAGCUCUGUGGGGAGAGAAGAAUAAGUGCAAGCUAAUACUUUGCAUGAUGACGGUAUCUCCUUAGCAAGCACCGGCUAACUCUGUGCCAGCAGCCGCGGUAA
rnacentral:rRNA from 1 species